ACAGGAAAGGUUGGGGCCUGGUUGCAGCCGGAGGAGGAAAGAAGAGUUCACAGAGUGGCCACAGCUUGUCAGACCGCCUUGAAGAGAGCCUGAAGCCCAGACAGCAAUGGGUCAACAGGGACCAGGACCACACCUCGCUGAUGGCUGCUUGGUACUGAUUCAGCAGAUCCGAGCUGGAGUUGGAGUCUUGACUUUCCUCCAUGCUUGGGAAUGAAAGAAAUCCAGUGUCUCAGGAGAGAAGACAAUUUACAAACAGACUGGGCGCCUCUCUCUGGCUACCAGACUAUGGAAACAUCGAACCCCAAAGAAUUACAGUUUCCCCAGGAAGUCCUGCUAGGGAAAGAGAAGUGUCAAAGGCCCGGUGGCAGCCAGAGGAGGAACUUGCCUCCUAGGAAGAGAUUUCACACAGUUCUAACAACUUGUGGGACUACUUUCAGGAGAAACUGGAGCCCAGACAACAGUGGGUCACCUUGUAGCAGACUUUGACUGACUACUUAGCUAUGAAUACCUAUUGCAUUCUGCUUAAACCUAAAUCUCAUGUAAGAACCUCAAAAGUUUAACAGGUCGUCUUUAUUGUUCCUGUUCCCAGUGAGGCCACAGUGAAUAAAUCUUCACUGUCUGAUUUUCAUUA